UACGAAGGGUGCAAGCGUUACUCGGAAUUACUGGGCGUAAAGCGCACGUAGGUGGAUCGCUAAGUCAGGGGUGAAAUCCUGGAGCUCAACUCCAGAACUGCCUUUGAUACUGGCAAUCUCGAGUCCGGGAGAGGUGAGUGGAACUGCGAGUGUAGAGGUGAAAUUCGUAGAUAUUCGCAAGAACACCAGUGGCGAAGGCGGCUCACUGGCCCGGUACUGACGCUGAGGUGCGAAAGCGUGGGGAGCAAACAGG
rnacentral:rRNA from 1 species